rnacentral:rRNA from 1 species
GACAGAGGUCCCGAGCGUUAGGCGGAAUCACUGGGCUUAAAGCGUGUGUAGGCGGAUUUGUAAGUACCUUGUGAAAUCCCACGGCUUAACCGUGGAACUGCUGGGUAUACUGCUUAUCUUGGGCCAUCUAGGGGCGAGCGGAACAAACGGUGGAGCGGUGAAAUGCGUAGAUAUCGUUUGGAACGCCAAUGGUGAAAACAGCUCGCUGGGGAUGUGCCGACGCUGAGACACGAAAGCGUGGGGAUCAAACAGG